UGGCGAACGGGUGAGUAAUAUAUCGGAACGUACCCGGAAAUGGGGGAUAACGUAGCGAAAGUUACGCUAAUACCGCAUAUGCCCUGAGGGGGAAAGCGGGGGAUUCGCAAGAACCUCGCGUUUUCGGAGCGGCCGAUAUCGGAUUAGCUAGUAGGUGAGGUAAAGGCUCACCUAGGCGACGAUCCGUAGCUGGUCUGAGAGGACGACCAGCCACACUGGAACUGAGACACGGUCCAG
rnacentral:rRNA from 1 species